rnacentral:lncRNA from 1 species
GAAGAGAAUGUGAGUGACGUAUGUGGAGAUUCAUGAGAGGGGAUCCCAUCAACACGUGACAGCUCCCCCUUUUCUUUUUCUUUUCCUGCUCCCCUUUCACGUGAGAGAGAAAGGCUAAGAGAGUGUAUUCUUUUUUUUUAAAGAAAAUCAGUGCUCCUUUCCUUUUAAUUCAUUUUUUCUUUUCUAUUUCCUUUUUGUCUUUUAUGUCCAGAGAGAGACGUUGGGGGGUAACGUGUGACCACCCCCUUUUUC